UACGAGGGGGGCGAGCGUUGUUCGGAAUUAUUGGGCGUAAAGGGUGCGUAGGCGGCCUGACAAGUCUGAUGUGAAAUCCCUGGGCUCAACCCAGGGCCUGCAUCGGAAACUGUCGGGCUUGAGUAUGGGAGAGGUGAGUGGAAUUUCCGGUGUAGCGGUGAAAUGCGUAGAUAUCGGAAGGAACACCUGUGGCGAAAGCGGCUCACUGGACCAUUACUGACGCUGAGGCACGAAAGCUAGGGGAGCAAACAAG
rnacentral:rRNA from 1 species